GUAUCAACAACGCUCAGAGAAUUCACCCGACCAAUUCGCAUCUCAAGCACCAUCUGUUUCUUCAAGUCAUUCAUGGCAGAACGAACUUUAGAGAGGAGGCCUGGAUUGAGAGGGGUGUACUGUCGCAAGAUUCUAAUAGGUUGAUCAUGAGUAAAUGGUGCCAAGUUAUCUACAGGCUUUUUUCAAAGAUGACCAAUUUUUGAGACAACAACUUUAAUUGGAGAUUUGCCAUUUCCUUUUUAUGAUCUGUAUGGUCCUAAUGACGAAGUGAAUGAAGUAUCUGAUAUGUACAAGGAAUGGUAGAACAUAAUAUUGACUUAUAGACAUGAUCAAUUCCAUACGAUGGGGUACCAUGAUGGUCUUAUAGCUGGAAAGGAAGCUUCUUCUCAGGAGGGACUUAAUAUUGGAUUUAAGCAAUCAGUCCUUGUCGGUUACAACUGAGGUCUUGUGUGAGGUGUUACAAGUACAUUGGCUUCCCUUCCAGAUGGUAUAAGGGAGAAGUUGAUCGAACCGAAGAAGAAAGUAACUCUAUUUCAGGGAUUGUUCCGUUCAUUCCCAUUCUACAAUAUAUGCCCUAUAGUUGAGAUUGUUCCUGUUCAUUCCACUCAUUAUCAAAUGUUACU
rnacentral:lncRNA from 1 species